rnacentral:sRNA from 1 species
UCACCUACUUCUGACGUGCAUACUGCACGUGU